GCAAAACGCGAAGAACCUUACCUGGGUUUGACAUGGCCGCAAAACUGUCAGAGAUGGCAGGUCCUUCGGGGGCGGUCACAGGUGGUGCAUGGCUGUCGUCAGCUCGUGUCGUGAGAUGUUGGGUUAAGUCCCGCAACGAGCGCAACCCUCGUUCGAUGUUGCCAGCGCGUUAUGGCGGGGACUCAUCGAAGACUGCCGGGGUCAACUCGGAGGAAGGUGGGGAUGACGUCAAGUCAUCAUGCCCCUUAUGUCCAGGGCUUCACGCAUGCUACAAUGGCCGGUACAAUGGGCUGCGAUACCGUGAGGUGGAGCGAAUCCCAAAAAGCCGGUCUCAGUUCGGAUCGGGGUCUGCAACUCGACCCCGUGAAGUCGGAGUCGCUAGUAAUCGCAGAUCAGCAACGCUGCGGUGAAUACGUUCCCGGGUCUUGUACACACCG
rnacentral:rRNA from 1 species